GGUUCCAUAGUGUAGUGGGUAGCAUGUCUGCUUUACAUGCAGAAGGUCCUGGGUCCAUGCCCCAGUGGAGCCA
rfam:Pteropus alecto contig109773, whole genome shotgun sequence.